rnacentral:ribozyme from 14 species
AGACAGAGCGUGAGAGAAAGAAACACGGAAGAAAAAUGUCGAAGGAUUAUUUUGGACAAACAAAAUUCAUUUCCUUCCUCUUCUUUUUUAAUACUUCGAAGAUUCCCGCUUCAUUCUGCUAC